rnacentral:lncRNA from 1 species
GUAAGUAGUCCUGUGGAUUGAGCAGUGCUUUCUCAAAUUCUCUUUUAAUGCAUUGUUUCUCCUAACCAAGCCUUGCAGUCUUAGCUUUAAUUUGAAAAGGAGGAAAUCAUAGUCAACAGCAUUGCCCUGUCCACCAGCCAGAUGUUACCGCAAAAAUCCUCAAAAGUAGCUCCAGUACUGUGGAGAAGUAGCUUUGACAUUCCAUCUGCCAAGUGCAGGUUUUAAGGCAACACCUCAUUCAAAAAGUUACAGGCAGCUUAGCUUUAGGAAGCUAAGAAUUUAUAGUGUUAAAUAGUCACUCAAAAAAAAAGAAAAAUGUGUAAAGUCUUAAACGAAUGACAGGUAGAUGCUAGGUUGCUGUUCUGAUCUGAUGAGGUGUUAUGUGGCCUGUGUGAUUCCCUUUCAUCCCUGGAAACAGAUCUUAGGAGGGGACUUGAGCUGCUUUGCCUAAUCUAUUCUCUGCUUUAAAAUAAUACACAAUCUAUAAAUGGAAGCUGAAGUUAAUUGGUCUUAGAUUAGUUUGAAAGUAGCACAUUAUUUUUAAUAAAAUACAUGGUGUGUUUUAG